rnacentral:pre_miRNA from 1 species
AGUGUGAUAGCUGGGUCAAAUGGUAGUUCCAUUCCAGAUUUUCUAAGGAAUCUCCAUACUGCUUUCCAGAGUGGUUGCACCAAUUUACAUUCUCACCAGAAU